UACGGGGGGGCAAGCGUUGUUCGGAAUUACUGGGCGUAAAGGGCUCGUAGGCGGCCAACUAAGUCAGACGUGAAAUCCCUCGGCUUAACCGGGGAACUGCAUCUGAUACUGGAUGGCUUGAGAUUGGGAGAGGGAUGCAGAAUUCCAGGUGUAGCGGUGAAAUGCGUAGAUAUCAGGAGGAACACCGAUGGCGAAGGCAGCCCCUGGGCCAAUACUGACGCUCAUGCACGAAAGCGUGGGGAGCAAACAGG
rnacentral:rRNA from 1 species